UCGUGUCAUGGGAACCGUACCCACAACCUACAAUACGUUUAAUUUAUUAACAUUAUUAGAUUCCGGGACACAUAAAUGUAACCCUGGAUUUGGAAAUUAUAUAUCACAACUACGUCACGGGAACCGUACCAUAGCUAUGAUAAUUUAUUAUAGCGCGCCUAAAGCAAACUACGAAGGUUCAUGUUUAAUCUAAGUUGAAAUUAAAUAUAAAGCUACUAAUUGUAAGUGUGCAUUGGAAGAUAAACUAAGUCUUUAAUUGUUUGAGAAGAACUGGGCCAAAAGUAGGCCCAUUACAUUAUCUAAAAGAAGAUUGCCAAGAAAAUAUGGCCGGUGUGGACUGGGCUCGAAAUUGAGCCUAAAAGAGGAAGUAAGCAAAAAACAGACGCACACCAAUUCGACCAAGCUGCUUCAUCUGGGCCAAUGCCAGGCCCAACUACUUCCAGCAGAAGGGCCUUCGACAUUAAGGCUCAAUUUCCUCUAAAUCACAUGUAACACAAAAUAUUAUAAAAAUUCUGGAAAAAUCAUAGGCUAACCAACCAUAUUGUAAGUUUAAAUUAUUAACAUGCUAUUAGUACUAACAAUAAGAGAUUAAACCUUACUUAUUCAUGAAUCACCUUAAACUUAAAUAUGCAAUCACUUUAACACUAUUGAAAUUCGAGAUAAUUUAGCUGAUGGUGCUUAGCAAUCAAACACUGUCCCUUUUUGACAUGUACAGUACAGAUCCAGCAUCUUCUAGUAAAGACCAAAUGAACUACUAUGGCGACUAAACAUUUUAAAACUGUCAAACAGUACAUGGAACAGCUAGACUAAUUUGAACAUUCAUACAAAUAACUAAGUUAUAGACUAGAACACCGGAUUCAGAAUGCUUAAACAAAACUAAAACAGAAAUACUAAACAAAAUAACUUGCAAACACCAUACAUAAUAAAAACUGAAAUUUAACAUUCGAAUACCCAUCUUCUUGUUACAUUAAAGACUAAACACAUGCUUUAGAGCUUCAUUUUGCCACUCAAAAGUUCAUAGAGAUACCUGGAUGUCAAGAACAAAGACAAGGUAAAGAAGCUCAGCAAGAAGUCAGUAGAGAUCAGCAACAAGAAAACAACACACAGCCUCAAACAUAAUCCAUACUGGAAUUAGAAAAUCAGAAAUCCCAAAGAAGUUUUCUAAGUUUUUUUUAAAAUCAGAAGAAAAGAGAAUCAGCUACUAAUGAAACAGUAGUUGAACCUUUUGGAGUGUUUUUAGGGUUC
rnacentral:lncRNA from 1 species